rnacentral:rRNA from 1 species
AGCUCCAAUAGCGUAUAUUAAAGUUGUUGCAGUUAAAAGCUCGUAGUUGGAUUUGUGGUGUACGCCGGCGGCCCGUCGCAAGACGGAGCUUGCUUGCGUCGCCAUCCUUGGGUGGAUCCUGUGUGGCAUUCAGUUGUCGUGCAGGGGAUGCCCAUCGUUUACUGUGAAAAAUUGAGUGUUCAAAGCAGGCUUAUGCCGUUGAAUAUAUUAGCAUGGAAUAAUAAGAUAGGACCUUGGUACUAUUUUGUUGGUUUGCGCACCAAGGUAAUGA